UGCUGGGUGGAUUAGUGGCGAACGGGUGAGUAACACGUGAGUAACCUGCCCUGGACUCUGGGAUAACCCCGAGAAAUCGGAGCUAAUACCGGAUAGGACCUUUCCCCGCAUGGGGUUUGGUGGAAAGUUUUUCGGUUUGGGAUGGACUCGCGGCCUAUCAGCUUGUUGGUGAGGUAAUGGCUCACCAAGGCGUCGACGGGUAGCCGGCCUGAGAGGGUGACCGGCCACACUGGGACUGAGACACGGCCCAGACUCCUACGGGAGGCAGCAGUGGGGAAUAUUGCACAAUGGGCGCAAGCCUGAUGCAGCAACGCCGCGUGCGGGAUGACGGCCUUCGGGUUGUAAACCGCUUUUAGUAGGGAAGAAGGGCUUCGGCUUGACGGUACCUGCAGAAAAAGGACCGGCUAACUACGUGCCAGCAGCCGCGGUAAUACGUAGGGUCCGAGCGUUGUCCGGAAUUAUUGGGCGUAAAGAGCUCGUAGGCGGUUUGUCGCGUCUGCUGUGAAAACUAGAGGCUCAACCUCUAGCCUGCAGUGGGUACGGGCAGACUUGAGUGGUGUAGGGGAGACUGGAAUUCCUGGUGUAGCGGUGGAAUGCGCA
rnacentral:rRNA from 1 species